AUUGAACGCUGGCGGCAGGCCUAACACAUGCAAGUCGAACGAGUGGCGGACGGGUGAGUAAUGUCUGGGAAACUGCCCGAUGGAGGGGGAUAACUACUGGAAACGGUAGCUAAUACCGCAUACCAUCGGAUGUGCCCAGAUGGGAUAGGCUUGUAGGUGAGGUAACGGCUCACCUAGGCGACGAUCCCUAGCUGGUCUGAGAGGAUGACCAGUGACACUGGUAGUGCUAGAAGUUGCAGACUCCGACGGGAGGCAGCAGUGGGGAAUAUUGCAAAAUGGGCGCAGUCCUUAUACAGCCAGGCCGCGGGUAUGAAGAAGGCCGUCGGGUUGUAAAGUACUUGCAGCGGGGAGGCGUUACCCGCAGAAGAAGCACCGGCUAACUCCGGGCCAGCAGCCGCUGUAAUAC
rnacentral:rRNA from 1 species